rnacentral:rRNA from 1 species
UGGGUAACCUGCCCUUAACACUGGGAUAAGCCUGGGAAACUGGGUCUAAUACCGGAUAUGACUCCUCAUCGCAUGGUGGGGGGUGGAAAGCUUUUUGUGGUUUUGGAUGGACUCGCGGCCUAUCAGCUUGUUGGUGAGGUAAUGGCUCACCAAGGCGACGACGGGUAGCCGGCCUGAGAGGGUGACCGGCCACACUGGGACUGAGACACGGCCCAGACUCCUACGGGAGGCAG